rnacentral:rRNA from 1 species
UACGGGGGGGGCAAGCGUUGUUCGGAAUUACUGGGCGUAAAGGGCUCGUAGGCGGCCCUCUCAGUCGGAUGUGAAAUCCCCAGGCUUAACCUGGGAAUGGCAUCCGAUACUGGAGGGCUUGAAUUCGGGAGAGGGAUGCAGAAUUCCAGGUGUAGCGGUGAAAUGCGUAGAUAUCUGGAGGAAUACCGGUGGCGAAGGCGGCAUCCUGGACCGAGAUUGACGCUGAGGAGCGAAAGCAUGGGGAGCGAACAGG